rnacentral:pre_miRNA from 1 species
GGCCCCGAUCCUCCGGAAAAAGUGCCCUUUUCCGGAGGCUCUUAUUCUUAAAUCCUCCGGAAAAGGGCUUUUUUUCUGGAGGAUCGGGG